CUGGACAUUUCCAGAGUAGAUGGUUCUUCCCCCAAAUUACAAGGAAUGGAGGCUGGGAAACUACAUUUCUGAGACUCCUUCAUCAUCAGGAUGCCAGAUAAUAUUUUAAGUAAGGAAAAUAAAAUUAACUUUUCUGGGGCGAGAUGACAGACGAAUGUGCAAAGGCUUUCCUGUUUUCAAGAAGCAGUUUCUUACACUAUGCUUUUUAUUCACGUUAAAUGAAAUUCUAUUAGAAUAAAUUGUAUCAUGAGUUUUUAAAUAAAAUA
rnacentral:lncRNA from 1 species